CGGGGUGCCAAGCCAGACGGCCCCCGCGGCACACGCGCGCAGCCCGGGGCGCCAGAGACAGCCGUCGGCGCGCGCCGCGUCCCGGGGCUGGAGGUCCGGGUGGGGGGAACGGUCGCAGCACGCGCGGGCGGAAGGGUGGAGGUACCCCAGCAACUUACAGCCCAGGGCGACCACCAGGGACCAAAAAUGUCUGGUGCAUUCAAGAAUAGUGACAGGUCUGGAAAAAGGCCAUUCCCAAGAGAAGAAAUUGUGAUACAUCAGUUUUUCAAAGGGAACUCUGCCAUCUCACUCAACAUCUUGGAUCUGGGGCAAUACAGCCCAGAAGAGAGGAUACUGAAAGAAUUUGGGCAAGAUUCAAUGAUUCCUCCAUUUGGUCACUGCUUUCCAGAACACUCCUAACGAUAAUGAUACUGUAUUAAUUGUUCACAUUUAUUAAGCACUACUUAUGCCUGGCACUGUGCAAAGCCCAUCAUAGGUGUCACCUAAUAAACAACUUUGGGAAGAGGGGCUAUUAUUAUCUUAUAGAUUGGAAGAAAGACUUAAGAAAACUAAGUCCCCGAUUCAGGACUAGGCCGCCACGAAAUAAUUGAGCCGGGUUUACACCCAAGUUAUUUGGACUUCCGAGACCCAUGUUCUUAACUGCUAAGGUAUCUGAAAAGAUGGACUCCAGUGGAAUGUGUUUCUCUCUUUUCCUAGGAUGGAAAAAAAAA